rnacentral:rRNA from 1 species
CCUGGCUCAGGAUGAACGCUAGCGGCAGGCUUAACACAUGCAAGUCGAGGGGCAGCGUAGAUUGCUUGCAAUCUGACGGCGGCCGGCGAACGGGUGCGUAACGCGUAUAGAACCUACCUUUUACAGAGGGAUACCCCAGAGAAAUUUGGAUUAAUAUCUCAUAGUAUUAUAGAUCGGCAUCGAUUUAUAAUUAAAGAUUUAUCGGUAAAAGAUGGCUAUGCGUCCUAUUAGCUAGAUGGUAAGGUAACGGCUUACCAUGGCAAUGAUAGGUAGGGGUCCUGAGAGGGAGAUCCCCCACACUGGUACUGAGACACGGACCAGACUCCUACGGGAGGCAGCAGUGAGGAAUAUUGGUCAAUGGAGGCAACUCUGAACCAGCCAUGCCGCGUGCAGGAAGACUGCCCUAUGGGUUGUAAACUGCUUUUAUACAGGAAGAAACACUCCCUCGUGAGGGAGCUUGACGGUACUGUAAGAAUAAGGACCGGCUAACUCCGUGCCAGCAGCCGCGGUAAUACGGAGGGUCCAAGCGUUAUCCGGAAUCAUUGGGUUUAAAGGGUCCGCAGGCGGGCAAUUAAGUCAGAG